ACGAGUUUGAUCAUGGCUCAGGUUGAACGCUGGCGGCAUGCUUUACACAUGCAAGUCGAACGGUAACAGGGAGCUUGCUCCGCUGACGAGUGGCGAACGGGUGAGUAAUGCAUCGGAACGUACCCAGUCGUGGGGGAUAACGUAGCGAAAGUUACGCUAAUACCGCAUACGUCCUGAGGGAGAAAGCGGGGGACCGUAAGGCCUCGCGCGAUUGGAGCGGCCGAUGUCGGAUUAGCUAGUUGGUAGGGUAAAGGCCUACCAAGGCGACGAUCCGUAGCGGGUCUGAGAGGAUGAUCCGCCACACUGGGACUGAGACACGGCCCAGACUCCUACGGGAGGCAGCAGUGGGGAAUUUUGGACAAUGGGCGAAAGCCUGAUCCAGCCAUGCCGCGUGAGUGAAGAAGGCCUUCGGGUUGUAAAGCUCUUUCAGCCGGAAAGAAAUCGCGCAGGAUAAUACUCUGCGUGGAUGACGGUACCGGAAGAAGAAGCACCGGCUAACUACGUG
rnacentral:rRNA from 1 species